AAGCACAGGCCAAACUGCUUAAAAUUGAACCCAUUAUUUACACAGCUACAAAGAGCCUCAAAGGAAACGGAAUAUAUAGCUUUGAAAAGCCUCCACUGUCUAAGUCAGGGCUCUACUAGGAAAAAAAAAAAAGAUCCUGGAGAUUUCUAUCUUCUAUGUAGGAAUAUUUGACUGGCUGAGCCUGAAACUCAUGUGCUCCUUACAUCAUCUGAAUCUUCCUGGCCAGGAAGAACAGUCCUCUUCACUUUGAGUGAGCAGAGUGGCCUCUUUUCUCCUAAAGGCGUACCCUUACUGGAGAUUCUUGUUCUCUUUGGAUUCUAAAUUUUUACCCCUAGUGUUUCCAGCUUGGUAACCACAGCAAAGUCUUUGCAGAACCGGAGCUCUGAGAGGAAUAGCCCACAUGCUGAAAGAAUUUCAGGACCUAACCAAAAGAAUUCAUCUGCCGUUGGAAAAGGCCUCUGCCACAGAGCAUCAGUCACCUACAAUGAAUUUGGCUGUUGACCAACGGCAAGAGAUUAACCAGAAAGUCUCCCUAAAUCAAAAUUGGAAAAGAAAGAAGAAAGCUGAGUCAGAACAGAGUGACAAACUCAAUAACCAGUGAAGCAACAAGAAGUUCAAAUAUGCUAAUCCAGGUGGCGGAAAAGUUCUGACAUUCCCAGGCCUGGGGCUUGAAGCAUGAGAGUUCUGGAAAGCUCUCCAGCGACUUGGAUGGACCCCUCAUGGCACACCUCAUGGCCAAAAGGAACCAUGUGGGAGAGUGAGGUUUUUUGGUUUUCUACUCUGUGUCAUCAGAGUCUAGCAUCACCUAUGGAGUGGUAGCAUGGCUCAAAUGCUGUCCUCUUUCACUAGGCAAGAGAGAAAUAGAAGAGUGGGGUUGGGGGGAACAAAGCUCUCACCUGUGAGAAUUGAAGAUUCGUUAAUGGCUGCAUUAGAACUGGACUCGAGUCUAACAGGAACCGUGUGUAUGCAUAUGCAUCAUUUUGCACAAGUUCAGAAGGGGUGAUCAUUUCUAGGAAGUAGCGUGAGCAAAAUAAACACAGAUUGAGAUAACUGUUCCGUGAGGGG
rnacentral:lncRNA from 12 species